AUUGAACGCUGGCGGCAGGCCUAACACAUGCAAGUCGAACGAGUGGCGGACGGGUGAGUAAUGUCUGGGAAACUGCCUGAUGGAGGGGGAUAACUACUGGAAACGGUAGCUAAUACCGCAUACCAUCAGAUGUGCCCAGAUGGGAUUAGCUAGUUGGUGGGGUAACGGCUCAACAAGGCGACGAUCCCUAGCUGGUCUGAGAGGAUGACCCGCCACACCUGAAACGAGAAACGGGCCAGACUCCUACGGGAGGCAGCAGUGGGGAAUAUUGCACCGUGGGCGCAAGCCUGAUGCAGCCAUGCCGCGUGUAUUAAGAAGGCCUUCGGGUUGUAAAGUACUUGCAGCGGGGAGGCGUUACCCGCAGAAGAAGCACCGGCUAACGCCGUGCCAGCAGCCGCGGUAAUUC
rnacentral:rRNA from 1 species